GGGAAAAAGAUAAUUGAACUUUAAUUAUUAACUGUAUCCAGAGCUUAGUGUUUUUCUCAAAACUAGAAGUGAUUUUUGCUGUCUUCUUUGUAUGAGCAGGUCUGUAGAUUUAUCUCUUCUGAUGGUAUUCACAUCAGCAAUAAGUAACGCUGGAAGAAUAAAGUAUCUCAGGCUUUAUAUUAAGGAUUCAAUUAUUCUAUAUAAUUAGCCCCGAUUUAUUAAAUAUUUGAAACAUUUUCUACACUUAGGUAUGGAAUAGCAUAGCACAGUGAUCAGACCCACAAAUGACUUGUACCUUUACUCAGAAAAUGCUUCUUAUCACAUGAUAAGGAAGAUUAAUCCUAAGUCUCUCUUUCUUCUGUUUGGAUUUUAUUCCCACAAGAAAUAUCAGUUUUGUCCACAGUAUCUCAUGUAUUUCUAUUCCCUUGAAAUACAAAGAAGCAAUGGAGUCUGGUGUAAAUUAAGCAGAUUUAAUGAAAUAUAUAAAUGGUAACUUGUGCCUUGAAUAUAAAAUAACUGAGUGAAGCAUAAGGCAUUUUGCUGAUGCCAUCAUUGUCACCCUUUCCGGUUUUUCAUUCAUGUGUGUCUUUUUUUUAUUUCCUAUUGAAACAGUUAGGGGCUGUGGAGUCUUGGGAGUAAGAGUUUUUGUAUGCUACAGACACCCAAUCUUUCUGAGGUUGCAUUCUCCUGUAGUGUAUCUUCUUUUAAGGAAGCAGGAUAGACUUACCCUUCAAAAUGAGAAAAUGGUACUUCUACACUCAGCAACUGACUCUUCCCUCAUAUACAUUACAUGUUUCCAUACGAGUGAUUUCUCACCUGGUGUCUGACAGCAUCAGAAAAAAUGCCUCUCAGUAUCACUGGCAAGCACUGUAGGCUGUUGAUGUGGAAGGUGUCCUGAAUAAUUCUAAAGCCUGAAUAUUAUUUCGGGAGGUGAUGCAUUAAUUGUGGUCAUCCACAGAAGCGUGAUGUUACAGCUGAAAAGCAUGUAAUGACAGAAAUGGUAAACACUCCUUAGUAUAUAAAGACAGACUGAAGAUGUUUAACCUUCUUUCAAAUUGACAGAAUAUCCAUGUCUGCAUCUCUUUUUUUACCAAGCAGUAAGAAGUGGUGUUGCUGUCAGACAGCAGAUUACACUAAUCCAACAACUCUCACUGCUUUAAGGACUUCUCUUUAUCACAGUGUAGAUGCACAAAUUGUAGAUGCCAACUAAAGGUAUAAAAGCACUGCAUUUUAAAGUGCACUGGUUUUAAGGAAAUCUAAUUAAGAAAAUACCCUAUUUUAAAAGAUGGCUGAAAUACCAGUUGAGGAGUUCUAGAGUGUACUGUACUGCUGAGAGAAAUCACUGCAGUUGCACAAGGUCACCUCCUCCUGCCCUCCCCCUCCAUUCUUUUUCCUGAAUAUAAAUCUAAAAUGAGAUUUUGGCUAUUUAAGUAGAAAACAGAGACUAUAAGAGUCUCUCUUCUGUGGCUUGGCCCUGGAGGAACCUAAGCUCCACAAGCAACUUUACUGUUCCGUGGUGCCUAGUGUGCUGUUGCAGCACAGGCUCCAAACAGCCCUGUUUUGGCAGAUCUCAUUGCCCUGCUCCUUAAGCUUGGCUGGGACUCAGAAAUCAGAUUACUGGGAUCAGCUACCUGAGAGGGCUGGUCUGGGAAAUGUUCUCAGGCAUACAAUAACCAUGGACAGCUUUAUCUCCUCAUAAAAUGCAGUGACAGCUGCUACUGCUGGGAGGAUGGUUCAUGUCCUUUUUAUGUAACGUUUAGUGGCUAGAUAGCCAUCCAAGAAACAUCUCAGUGGGUUUGUACCCAUGUUGCCUGGUAGAAUACGUAGCUCUAACAGUAGAAGAUAGCCUGAACUAGCAAAAGAAAAUAGUGCUAGUCCUUUACUGGUUUUGCAUAUGAAAUGUGUUUGUCAGGAAUUUGAACCAGAAUCAAUUCAGUGACCCAGAAGAGAACAUGGAGUAUUCGUGUGCAGCAUGCUAUGUGCAAUUUGUCAUAGCAAACAAGCUGCCGUACAGAUACUUGCUGCAAGUGUUGCGUAACAUUCUGAGUAUACAGUUUCUUUAGCAAGCCUGCCUGACUGUAACAAAAGAAUGAAUUAAAAUGGCUAGGAGCAAGAAAAGUAGUCUUUCUGAUGGCAGUGCUGAAAUGACAUGUCUUGUGACUAUUACUCCCCAGUUCACUGUAGUCUAUACAGGAAACAGGAAAUAAAACCCUUCCUAACCCAUUAUUCCAGCUGUGUUUGGUCUGUGUUGAUUUGGUGCAUCUCUGUACAACCUAGAAAUUGUGGUUGAAUUCAUGACAUUCUUAUUAUAUUGCAAAAUGUUUCUACAUAUCUGCUUUUGCUAUCCAAACCCCUGCUGGAGGGAUAAUGGAUGCUGUACAUAGUGAAUAUGUUUCGACUUGCGUAUAAAAAGGAGUAGUAGCAGUGGGAAGAUUUGUUUUCUUCCAAAGACCUGGAAAAUGUAGAGUAGAAAAUAUCCACAUUGGCAAUAGCAUGAUGACAGUUAUUAGUUCACAGAAAGAGAGGAAAGAAAGUGUUUUUUUUUUUUUUUUUUUUUUUUUUAAAUAAUGAAAUAUUUAGCUGAGGGACCAGAGGAGGUUAGAAAAGGUGCCUCGUAUCCUAAAGCCAAGUCCUGAAAUGUAUGAGAAGAAUUUUGGACAGCAUGAACUUCUCUCAAGAGUGAAGUCCAUAGUGACAGGAAUUUGCCCAGAGCUGACACACCUCCUUUUGAAUCCCCUCACUGUCUGCUAUGCCUGCAUCACCUUCAAGUUUCACGUGAUCCCCCUGAGUUGCACAUAACUUUCUUUCUAUCCACAUUUAUGUCUUACUAUCACAAAGUAAGAACAGUCAUACAGGAUCAGACUAAACAUCUGUCUAGCCGGGUAUCCUGUUUCUGACAGCAGCCUGGGGGAGAGUAUAGGAAAAUGUCAAGCUUGUACUGAUCCUUUCUUGGUGUACUCUCCUACCUUCUACUGAAUCAUGGCUUUGGGACUUCCUGAGCCAGAGAUAAUGCUAACAUUUUUCAUCCUUCCUCUCAAUUCCAUUAGUAGUGCAAGCCUCAGAAACUUACUUUCUAUUUUAUUCAAAACCAUUUUCUUGUUUUCCUACAUACGGGAUCUUAUGCAAGCACUUUUUCUUGAGUUGAACCAUAAAGCUCCUACAUUCUUUUCUCCAUUUAAAUUCCUCUUUGGAACUCACUUCUUCCUUGACAUCCACCUGGAUAAGUCAGUAGCUAAUUAAUUUCAUUUACGUACCCUGUUCGUUUGCCACUCAUUUAUGUGAGAGGAAGGGUGUGGGGACCUCUACGGAAGCUGUGGGCUGUACAGGCUCCAGAAGGAUGGCUCCAUUUGAGCUCUGUACUAAAGAACAGGGAGGAGUUAAGGCACUCAGUCCAAGACAAAAUUCUUGAAAGCUAAUAGCUCCGGGAGCCUUUCAGCUCCAGAAACCCAGUGUUUCUGUGCAAGACGAACAUGCAGUCCAGAUCCCAGUAUGACAAGAAACAAUGCAAUUGCCACUGACACUCUUUUUGAAUGAUGUGGAUAAUCAAAUAUUAAAAUCAAAUAGUAAAACCAUCUAUUUGGCUCCUGGUGCCCUACAAGUUGUGGCUGGUUCUCUUCUAAAUCAAGCCUUGUCUGAAAAAGAUAAACGGUGUUAAACUACACACUGCCUCCCUCCCUCCCCCUUCUUUGCAGCAGGAAGUAAAUGCCUCUGUGAAAGUGCUGUGGUGUGAGCAAACACAACAUUGAGACAGGAAAUGUGUAUUCAGGAGCAUGUGAAAACCUGAAGGGAAAUGUAGGCCUAAAAAAAAAAAAACCCAUACCCAAUAACCAUUUCCCCUUUCCUGCCAAGUAUAAAGGAAAUUAAAAUUACUUGCUACUUUAAUGCACACUGAUUUUCAGAAAAUACAUUCUAGUAGUACUGUGACUGUGAAUUAGGCCAGUUAUUUCCAACUUCAGUACUGGCAGGUCUGCUUGGAGAACUUGAUAAGCCCAUGCCAGUAUUGUAGGAUAGUGGAUCCACAAUCUUUGCAGCUGUAAUGUGUAUGUCUCUAGGCUCCUAAAUUUGAACUACUGCCCUUAUCACUGUACUGUUAUAAUUCUGAUUAGGCAAAUUCUUAUCUUAAUAGACAGGAAGAAAUCAGGAAGGAGGAGGUGAUCUUUAAAAAAUUUAUACAUAGGAAGGAAGCAAGAGACAUUACUGAAUCAUUCUUUGUCACGUGGUGACCAUCUUCAGCUGUGACAGAGUUUAUCAUUUUUUCUCUUGCUAUUUUUUACAUGCUGAUAGUUUCAAUUUAACUGAUUAAGUCACUGGAACACAAGAUGAAGUCUGUGUGUUAUCUAAUCCAGUUCUGACCCAUACUCUCCUGUCUCUGUGGGAAGGUUCCUUUCUGCUUUAGCAUCUUCUCGGCUAAUUUGGAUGAUCUUAAACCUAUCCAUAUUUUGUGAUAUAAGACAGGUCAAAAAUAUGUCCUCAUCAUUCACUCUAGGCAAAUUAGAAGAUGUUGAAAUGGUUUGCCUUCUAGGCAAACUCAUAAUUGUAUUACUCAAAUGUUUGACUGUGAAAACAGUGACAUUUCUCCUUUCAUUGUCAUAGGAAAAACAGUCUGAAAUCACCUGAUUUUCCAUCUUCCCCUUCACUUCCAACUCUCAACAAUUUUGAUGGCAUGCAGCUGUCUUUAUGCAUCUCAGUUUUACAGACUGGUCCUCCUCCUACAUCAGCUUCAAAUAUAGACUCCUCCUGUUUUUGUGCCAUGUUUUUGCUGUUGCUAGCCAUCUCUCAAGUCAGUCAAAUACCGCAGUACUUGCUAGUGAGAAACAGACACAAGAAUCAGGUGAAAAACUUGGCUGCAAUAAAUGGGAGAAAAAAAAAGUCUCUCUGUCAUAAGCAAGUUAUAUCCCACUUUUGCAUUCUGUGAGUAAACUCAUAUUUGUUGAGAUCAAUUUUCAAGAGAUUGACAAUAGGUUCAUUUUACGUUUUCUAGACCCAAACUACUUCUGUGUAGAGUAGGUCGAAGGCCACUUGGUAGAGACAUAGCAGCGGUGCCUAUUAGUCUGCUCUGUUUUCAAGUUUUCAGUUGUACAGGAUUACAUACUUGCCAAAAGAAGAGUGUUAUCCUAAAUUUCAGGGUUGGGAUUUUUUGUUAAUGCAAAGUAAAUAUUUCCAUGCUUUGGAACAGUGAAAUUGUAGUGGACUAGAAAGUAUUUGGAGGUGAGAGUUUUUCAGAAGUAAAACUUGUGUUUUUUUUAUUAUCCUCCUGAAUUGGACUAAUGUCAUACCAACAAAAUAAAGUAGCUGCUAUGCUUUUAUCAGGAUCAGAGCUUUAGUCAUAGUUUUAUCAGUGUUACUAUUUUGGGGAAAUAAAGCCAUUCACCUUCUAACUUCUGUAUGCAUAUCUCUGAUUUAAAAAUAAACAAAAAGCCACUGCACUCAAGUACAGUGCAGUACUAUUCCUUAUAAUCCAUUUAUGUCCUUUUUUUUUUUUUUUUUUUUUUUUUUAAUUAAUUGGAAUGAUGGUGGGUGUUGAUCUAGAGGAGACAAACAGACAGUUCAUAUGCCAAAACCUCAGUUAGGACCACAGACUGAAAAUAACAAUAAAUAACCGCAUGCAGCUGUGGCUGUUGCCAGCUGGCAUGCUUUCUUUGCUGGUCUGCCAUGCACAUCUGCAAAUAUUUUAUUAAUGAUAAAAGCAGCAUUGGCCUCUUAGUACUGAAUCUUUCCCUGCAUUUCUGGUUUGGAAAACUUGCACUAUGAUUCCUCUUCCUCUUAUUACAACUACUAUUGUUAUUAAUUGUAGCAUAGUCAUGUUUAAGACAUGAACUGUGACCUCCAGUGCUAACUGCUACAAAAAUACACCAAAGAGAUGGUUCUUGCUUCUGACAAAUUUACCCUCUGACACAUGAGAUAAGACAAGAUGCAUGGGUGGAAAAUAUAGUGAAAUCAUAUUCAGCACAGUGUAUAGAAGCUGAGCAUGUCAUUAUCUUUAGUACUGCUGAGGUUUUUGAAGGACUAAAGUGAAAGGAGAGGAUGAAGGUAGGCUUGUAUGAGGAUAAUGAAAUUGCUUUGCUGUUGUUAUUAAGGAUUUCUUGCCUCUUAUGGAGAACACUGCAGAGAGCAUCAGCAGUUACUCAAAAAGAGAAACAAGUAUGCAUGGGAGGUAUCAUGGGUGAGUUAGGGACUUGAAUUAGUCUCUAAAUGUACAAAGUAGAUACAGGUCUCCGAGGCAUGGACUAUACAUGCAAGUAAAGAUGAAAAGAAGUGUCUUACGUUUGAAUGUGUGACAAAUGAUACCCUGAUAAUAGUGAAGGAAUGUCCAGUGAGAUGGACUAGUCUCCAGAGUGCUAAUGGCAUGGGGCUGUGCCUUGUGGACAUUCAGAUUCUGAAUCCCCUCUUUCACUCCUGCUUUAUCUUCAUCAGGUGGGGUGGCUGUUGGAAUCAACUUUGUGUGGAUACUGAGCAUCACCCGAUUCACUAUGAAAGUAUUUCUGGCCUUUCAGUAGCCCUAUCUGAGCUAAUCUGGCCCAGCCCAGCACUGUUGUCGAAACUGCACAAUUUGUACACAUCCAUGGAUUUAGCUGUAGCUUUGUACAGUGUAGUGUUGUUGGUGCUGCUGGAGUUGCAGUUUUAAGUUCAUAUUCUGGAGCUGUACUAUGAUGUUCAUGAGCCCAUUAAUGGAUGCUGCUGGUACUCUGGAUUAUCAACCUAUAGGUGUUCUGCUAUGCCAGCUUCCUUCCCUCUACCAGCUUCAGUGUGCUCUAACCCCUUUGCUGACCACAUUCCCUACUUUCCAAACCACAUCCUUGGUCCUGUGCUCCUCCUCUUCCUCGCUCUUCUGCAAGGAACUUCACUGCCCAUGGCAUGCACUGCAAGGCUUGGAGAUAGCUGUCAUAUGUCUUGAUUUUGAAUGGUGGUAAUGAAGGACUGGUAAUACAACCACUUUUUUUUUUUUUUUUUAAUUUCUAACUUCAAUAAUUAUGAAUUUUAAUAUGAAUUUUAAUUUACGUUUAUUCACUGAAAUUAUGUCUCUGUUGUACUGACUGUGUAGUUUACCAUAGGCUUUAUUUGCUAUAUUUUAAAGCUCACUGCCUGCUAUCUUAUCAAUUGUUCUAUAGAUACGUAAAGAUCUCUGAAAGCAGUUAUAUAGGGUGAAUUAGCAGUGCAUGGUAUAUUUUAUUAGGUUUAAAAGCUUGUAAAUUAAUAGAGUAGUUCUGAGAGCUUCAGGAUAUACCUGCCUGAAAAAAUAGCAAUGGUGACUUGAUGUGUGAUUUGUCUUUGCUUUUAGUUUGCAGAAUGCAUCUGAGAGACAAGAUUCCUGCUAGCCAAUUUAUUUUUCAGAUAACAAGGACUGUCUGGAAGUACAUUCAGAAGGAAAACACAGUAAUUAAUUUGUCACUGAAACCUGAGGGGUCCUCUUCCUCAUAUAGGUGAUAAUGAAGGUUUUGCAUGUAAUUAGCAGGAAUAAUUAGCACGUUUCUGGUAACAAAUAGACGGAGUGGUUCUCUGCAAAUAAAUUAAUUGUUGUGCUAACACAGGCAAUUGUCUCCUUAUUGUCUGACAAUGGCCCUUGUUUGCACUAAAGCUUAUUUCAGUCCUUAGCAGCUUUACACAAAUAGGAAAGAGAAUCUAUAAAAUUGUGCCUCAUCCAUCUGCUUCUGAGAAACUUCAAGACCACCAGGGGACUUGUUUGUCAAGGCUUGUUAAACAAUUUGUAAUCUUGAACAUGUGUUUCAGUAUAUUAACAAAUGAAUUGUUCAAAUUAACUUAGUGGGCAAGCCAGGAAAACCACAGUAAUCAAUCAAGUCCCGAGUCUGGGCAUCUUGGAGCAGAAAUCUCUGAAAAAUAAUACAGCAGUAAAGUCACAGCAAAGCUAUAUGGGAGCCGAAUGAAUCCCAGAACGUUACAUGUAGCCAUGCAGCAAAGCGGGACUGUUACGGAGUUACGCUGCUCAUAGUGCGAAAUCACAUUGUGAUGUAUGUGCCCUUAGAGUCACCGCGGUGAAGAACCUCGGUCAGACAGCCGGUACAGCCUGCACGUGUUCCUUUCUGAAGAGCUGAAAGGAUCAAACAUUCCCUGAAGUGUGGUAGAAGGCAGGAAGAAUGACACUUGCUAAUUUGAAUUUCAGAACACACCUAAACCGCAUUCUGAUCUCCAGGUUUGUGUGCAGGAACACAGUGUGUGUUAUAGAAGAUGGCCCAUUCUUUUGGACUGCUUUAGAACAGUGAAUUCCAGUUGCCAGACCUGCUUGUAUGUGGAAGCACUAAGCAUACAGAAAAGCAUUACAUGGUUCGUGGACCUGGGCUGUCAGCUGGAAGAAAAAUGAACGUAAAAGCUUGAACCUUUGGAAUUUUUUAGGAGCAGUGUGGUCCCUCUGCUUCAGCACCUGUGCCCCCUCUCAAAAGGAGCAGUGCUAACCUACCAGAGUCCACAUACUGUAAAGUUGGGACAUCCAUUGAAUCCAAUGUUCUUGGUUCUGAAGACCCUUGGACCCACCUAGCAUGGCUAUAGACUUUGAGGUCUGGCACUCAUUGGGAUAUCUGUGGACAACAUUCCACUUCACAGGGUAGGUUUCUGCAAGCUAAAAAGAAAAAAAAGAACAACCCCCAAACAAAACUGUAAACGAAAUGAAGGAAGUGGAGGCAGCUUCAAGCUUCAGCUUACUGCAGUACCCUCGGAUUUGAUCAGCUUAAUAUGUGACUCUGAGGAUAUGCUGAGUGAAAAGGAAAAAAAUAUGUUUGAAGAAGCUUCUAGGAAGUAAACGUUUCCAUGAGGAACAAUAUGAUAUCUCAAGGAAAACCUGCCUUAAGAUUAUUGGAGGGACUGAAUAAACACAGCAAGGCUGCAGUUAGACACAAAGCUGCAUCUUAGUCUGAAAAUCCUGGAGGUCUCCAGAUAAAUACACCACCUUAACAAUCCUGGUUUUGAAGAACUAUUGUAUGCUAUGGAAUAACAAGCCUGCUUUGGUUCUCCUGUGUUUUCAUGCAGUAUGGAAGAUAUCACAAAUCAUCUGUCCAGAUGCAGAAGUCUGUAUUUAUAAACUUCUGAUAAUGUCGGUUCACAUGAGCUCAGGUUCUGAAUGUCUUAAACUCUCUUCAUAUCUGGCAAAGUCAACGCUGUGAUUCAUCAUUCCACCCUGAUUUAGUAAUCUAAAACAGAUCAAUUAAGCUUCAGGCAGUGAGAAAUGUUUAGAAAGGACAGUAGAAUCUGAAAGACAGAUAAAGUAUAUCCCAUCCUGUAUUCUAGUGCAAUAAAGAUGUUUUGUUACACUAUGAAAAUCCAAUAUUAAUUGCAAAAGGAAAGGAGUGCUUAUAAUAUACAUUACCUUAACUGGAAUAUGUUUGCUUUAUGCUGAAACUUAUUACUAUUUUUAUUUCUAGCAAUUUUUUUUUUUUUUUUUUUGGCACUUAAGUAAACUUAGAAUGAAGAAAUUUUAAAGCAAUGGUUCCGACAGCCAAAAUGAAAGCAGAAAUAAAAGGUUUUGGAGAGAAUAUAGAGAGGACUAGCAUGUAUGAUUAAGGGGGACAGAGAAACUUAUUUAUGAAGAAAGAUUAAAGGAGUAAAAUAUGUGUAUGUACAUUGGAGAUUAACUAAGUGGCUCAUAAGAAGCAUAACUAUCUUCAAGUAUUUGAUGCAUGUAAACACCAAGAAUGGAGAGGAAAUGAUUAUUUGGAUGCACUUAAAUGGGGAAAGAUUCUGACUUUAAAGUCUGAUACUGUUUUGCUUCAAUGUUGCCAGGAAAGAUCUAUAUGCUGAAAGAGGACGACACUGGAAAGGGAAAAAUUUAUACACUGGAAGAAGCAUGAAGCCAAAAGGAUUUCAGAAAUUAUUCAAAAACACUAUAAAUUUUAAUACCAAAUAAGAGUUAUGUAAACUUUUGAACCAGCCUAUAAAACUCAAUAGAACAGUAUGACAGCACUAAACUGGUAAUGGAUUCAAUUUCUUGUUAAAGUUUUCUUUUCCCACAAGAAAAUAAAAUGCACCAUUUUGAAAGAUCCUGGAAGAUGAAGUGAUCAGCUGGUUGACCUAAGAUGACAAACUAGUUCCUUUCCAUGUAUGAAUUUGAUGCUCUGCAAAUAUCCUAGUAAAUGCUGGCCCCAGAAAGUGGUUCACUCAGUCUGUUACACACUUUGACAGGUUAUAUAGCAGUUAAUAAUUAAGUGAAAGGAAGUUCUGUAUAAAAAAAUCUGCCAUCAUUAUGUUCCAACUCUCUAUGUAGAGUCCACUGGUGUGGCUAUAAGUGGUAUCUUUGCUGACCAAUAGCACUGCUGGCAAACUAUCAGGUAAUUGUAAGUAUGUAUUUACCAGAGAAAAAAAGACCGGUUUACGUGCUUCUGUUUGUGAGACACAGUUGUGGCUGUACUGCUCUGCUGUGCUGAGCCCAGAUCCUCUAUCUUGCUGUAGGAUAAGCCUUGUUCUACCUAUAUCUAGGCAGAAAUUUGUUUAAAAGAGUCACAUGAAGAAUCCAUGUUCUUUAGUCAUUUAUAUAGUUUGUCAGAACAAGAUUUAAAUAUUGUCAGUCAUCUUGAAUUAUAACUAGUUUACAGCUUGUGCUCUGAACCCAUCCAUCCUUUUGAUCUUUUUACCUUAAGAAUGCAACUAUGUGGGAAAUAACUUUAAAGUGAAUGAUACACAUCUGACAGACUUUAAGGAAAAAUAAGUAAGAAUUCAGAAACAUUCCAUGUAAAGAAAAAAAAAUGUACCUUUUUAGAAAUGAACUGUUGUGCUCAUUCAUUGCAGAAUUUAAGUAAGAGUAAUGUUUUACCUCCUUCUUAGCAGCAAAGAAGCAACAUCAGAUGAGGGAGACGUAUCUGCACAUUUUUACAUCUCACAAAUAAUCAGCAGGUUAGAGACAAUAAAACAACUUACCUAAAAU